GUGCCAGCAGCCGCGGUAAUACGGAGGAUGCAAGCGUUAUCCGGAUUCAUUGGGUUUAAAGGGUGCGCAGGCGGAAUGAUAAGUCAGUGGUGAAAUCUCCCGGCUCAACUGGGAAACUGCCAUUGAUACUGUCGUUCUUGAGUACAGUUGAUGUGGACGGAAUGUGUCAUGUAGCGGUGAAAUGCUUAGAUAUGACACAGAACACCGAUAGCGAAGGCAGUUCACGAAGCUGUAACUGACGCUCAUGCACGAAAGCGUGGGGAUCAAACAGGAUUAGAAACCCCAGUAGUCC
rnacentral:rRNA from 1 species